rnacentral:rRNA from 1 species
AUCUAUGGCCGUACCACCCUGAACGCACCUGAUCUGGUCUGAUCUCGGAAGCUCAGCAGGGUUGGGCCUGGUGAGUAUUUGGAUGGCAGACAAUGUGUAAGUCCACAGUAUUGGUA